GGGCGGUUAGCUCAGUUGGUAGAGCGCCUCGUUUACACCGAGAGUAUGUUCCAACAAACCCCCGGAUUUCCCGCCCUCAA
rnacentral:tRNA from 1 species